rnacentral:lncRNA from 1 species
AAGAAAUAAUGCUUUGCAACAAGUGCUUCAAGUGAAUUAGUAAUCUGAAUUUCAAGGAGAAGUCCCCAGGGACAUUUGGGAUGUAAAUGCAGCCGUGUCUGGAGCUCUGGACAAGAGGUGCUAUGAAGAAGUUCUCCUCCUUCAGUGGCAGAACAGGGAGCUCGGAGCUGCUGGUCAGUUCUCUGGUCCAGAGAGCAGCACGAUCCUGUUGGCUGAGCACGUUCUUUGCCCAGCAAAGACACCGGGUUCUUGUGAAAACC